GCCUGUUCAUUGGAUGACCGAAUCUCGCAUUUCGUCAUCUCACCUUCGGUUCCCUGUGUUGCAUACCUUCGCGACGGUAUCCUGUCGGCUAGAAUCGCCCCGUUUCGCCCUACGUUGCGAGUAACAUCGCGACCGAAGGCGAACCGAAAAGCAUUCAUCGCGUUCCACCCCGUUCGCGUUACGCGUUGCGGGGACCGGCCCACGAUGACGUGCUCGAAUUCUCGGGUGCGGAACACAAUGUGGGCACGAGGACGUCGAUCCUCCGUUUGCCCCUCGAACAAGCGUUCUACGCUCUGUGCGAACGACGUUCUUCCUCGU
rnacentral:misc_RNA from 1 species